rnacentral:rRNA from 1 species
UGCGUAGGCGGAUUAAUAAGUCAGUGGUGAAAACCUGCAGCUUAACUGCAGACCUGCCAUUGAUACUGUUAGUCUUGAGUACGGUCAAGGUAGGCGGAAUGUGUAAUGUAGCGGUGAAAUGCUUAGAUAUUACACAGAACACCGAUUGCGAAGGCAGCUUACUGGGCCAUUACUGACGCUGAGGCACAAAAGCGUGGGGAGCGAACAGGAUUAGAUACCCUGGUAGUCC